rnacentral:rRNA from 1 species
AACGAACGCUGGCGGCAUGCCUAACACAUGCAAGUCGAACGAAGUCUUCGGACUUAGUGGCGCACGGGUGCGUAACGCGUGGGAAUCUGCCCUUGGGUGCGGAAUAACUUCUCGAAAGGGAUGCUAAUACCGCAUAAUGUCGUAAGACCAAAGAUUUAUCGCCCAAGGAUGAGCCCGCGUAAGAUUAGCUAGUUGGUGGGGUAAAAGCCUACCAAGGCGACGAUCUUUAGCUGGUCUGAGAGGAUGAUCAGCCACACUGGGACUGAGACACGGCCCAGACUCCUACGGGAGGCAGCAGUGGGAAUAUUGGACAAUGGGCGAAAGCCUGAUCCAGCAAUGCCGCGUGAGUGAUGAAGGCCCUAGGGUUGUAAAGCUCUUUUACCUGGGAUGAUAAUGACAGUACCUGGAGAAUAAGCUCCGGCUAACUCCGUGCCAGCAGCCGCGGU